UACGUAGGGACCAAGCGUUGUCCGGAAUCAUUGGGCGUAAAGCGCGCGUAGGUGGCUUCGUAAGUCCGUUGUGAAAGUCAAAGGCUCAACCUUUGAAAGCCGAUGGAUACUGCGGAGCUAGAGUACGGAAGAGGCGAGUGGAAUUCCUGGUGUAGCGGUGGAAUGCGCAGAUAUCAUGAGGAACACCAAUAGCGAAGGCAGCUCGCUGGGACGUUACUGACACUAAGGCGCGAAAGCGUGGGGAGCGAACAGG
rnacentral:rRNA from 1 species